GUCCUCUCCCCCAACCCCGGCCGCCGGCAACCCCUCCCCUCCCCUUCUCUCCCACGGUCGCGGUCGGAUCCACGCUCCCUCCUCGCUCAUGACCUAGACCUAGCCGCAUGGCACGACCAUGGGCAUGGUGGCGGCCAGAUCCACCCCCCUCCCCCUCCCUCCCACCUCGAUCCGCUGUCACCCCCACCGUCGACGACCCGCGCGACAGCGGCAGUGGGCUCGCGAGCCAGAUCAUAAGGACGUCCCCUUCCUCCCGAUCUCAUCGUGCUCCUCUCGAUCCCGUCCACUUCCUCCCCACAGCGGAGCCUCAGUUUUGACCGCGUCUCGCUGCUGUGUGCAGAAGUCCGGGAGGCAUGGGGCCGGGGGCGUGUUCCAGAUCUGCGCCGACGGCCUGGGCACCAUGGUGGAAGGCGAGGUCUUCACCACGGUGGAAGGAGGGCAUCCAGGCCUGCCUCCAGUGCAAACCGCGUACAAGCAUCACCUGGGCGUGAGCAGACCAGUUCCACGCCAACAAGAUGAACCUGGGCGAUGCUGACGCAGUACGACAUCGAGGAGGUGCAGGAGCACUGCAACUACCUAUGUACUCUUCUGUUGAUGAACUUCCUCCACACCUGCAGUGACAAGAAAAUGAUGAAGAAGUGGUUCUUCAUCGACAAGACUGUGGGCUAAGAAAAUCUCAGCUGAAAGAGAGACGACCACCGUACCUGCCUGAGAAAGAUCCUGCCUACAGUGCAUGGAUGGUCAUUGUUGUGCAGGCCAUCACGGGAAGGCGUGGGGGAUUUGGCACAAGGCCGAUGAUCGAGUCUAUGCUCUCUUGUGACGCCCGGAUAAUUAAGCUACAGUGAUCCAACGCUAAUGGUGCCACGUCACCACGGUUACUGCUGCUAAUCAUCGUUAGAUCAAAACGGGUC